GAUGAACGCUGGCGGCGUGCCUAACACAUGCAAGUCGAACGGACAUUUUCUGGAAAGUUCUUCGGAACCGGAAUCUAAAUGUUAGUGGCGGACGGGUGAGUAACGCGUGAGCAAUCUGCCUUUCAGAGGGGGAUAACAGCCGGAAACGGCUGCUAAUACCGCAUAAUGCAUUGGAUUCGCAUGUUUCUGAUGUCAAAGAUUUUAUCGCUGAAAGAUGAGCUCGCGUCUGAUUAGCUAGUUGGCGGGGUAACGGCCUACCAAGGCGACGAUCAGUAGCCGGCCUGAGAGGGUGAACGGCCACAUUGGGACUGAGACACGGCCCAA
rnacentral:rRNA from 1 species